CUGGCGGCGUGCCUAAUACAUGCAAGUCGAACGGUCUUUCUAUGGAAGCUUGCUUCCACUGAGAAGAUAGUGGCGAACGGGUGAGUAACACGUGGGUAACCUGCCCAUAAGAGGGGGAUAACAUCCGGAAACGGGUGCUAAUACCGCAUAGUUUUCUUGAUUGCAUGAUUGAGGAAGGAAAGACGGCCUUUGUGCUGUCGCUUAUGGAUGGACCCGCGGCGUAUUAGUUAGUUGGUGAGGUAACGGCUCACCAAGACGAUGAUACGUAGCCGACCUGAGAGGGUGAUCGGCCACAUUGGGACUGAGACACGGCCCAAACUCCUACGGGAGGCAGCAGUAGGGAAUCUUCCGCAAUGGACGAAAGUCUGACGGAGCAACGCCGCGUGAGUGAAGAAAGGUUUUCGGAUCGUAAAACUCUGUUGUCAGAGAAGAACAAGUUGGAGAGUAACUGCUCCAGCCUUGACGGUAUCUGACCAGAAAGCCACGGCUAACUACGUGCCAGCCGCUGC
rnacentral:rRNA from 1 species